ACUUGUGCUCUUCCGAUCUGGGAAAUAUGUGUAAUACCUUUGAUUUUAAUGGAGUGGGAACUAACCCAACUAGGUCCGGCAAAGUGCUUUUUCCCCCCACUGUGCCCUACAUUUUGUACACGAGAAAGCCCAAAAUGAGAGUGGGAUGGUCUAAUACACAGGCGCUCGUUCUUCUUUUAUCUAGUCCGGGAACUCUCUGUUUUAUUCGUUUGAAACGAUAUACAUAUACAAGGAAAAUUAAUGGUGCGAGAUGUAGAAACGCCGAUUUAAUAAAUUACACUAUCUGAGCUUAAAAAAAAAAAAAAAAUUAAAAAGAAAAAUAAAAGAAAAGGGAUUAAGUUGGAAAAGAGAAGAAAUUUUUGUAACAUAUCUGUAACUUGCAAUAUCUUUCAGAUAGAUUAUUGUUUUCCUGUGGGAAAUUGCGACACACGCGAAACAAAGCAAUUUUUGGCGAAAUAUUUAAAAAAAAAAUCCGCUUUCAUACUUGCGCAAUGCCAAUUGAAAAAAAUUAAAAAAAAAAAAAGAAUAAAUAUCUGGAGAAUAAAUCUUAACAUUAAUUAACAUUGAAAUGUUUUCACAUCGUCGUGUAGAAUUAUGUAUUUGCAAACCGAUGAUUUCUUUAUUCGGUGCUACGUUUAGCGCGUGUCUGACGCAACAUGACAUCUAUUCUACUUAAUUCGAAGUGAUAUCGAGUUGGACUGUUUCUCCUGUACAGUGUGUGUCUCUGUAGAAACGCCGAUUUAAUAAAUUACACUGUCUGAGCUCCUUAAAGAAAAAAAAUAAAAGAAAAGGAAUUAAGCUGGAAGAGAGAAAAAAAUUUUGUAACAACAGUAUAUGUAACUUGCAAUAUCUUUCAGAUAGAUUAUUGUUUUCCUGUGGGAAAUUGCGACACACGCGAAACAAAGCAAUUUUUGGCGAAAUAUUUAAAAAAAAAAUCCGCUUUCAUAUUUGCGCAAUGCCAAUUGAAAAAAAUAAAAAAAAAAAGAAUAAAUAUCUGGAGUAUAAAUCUUAACAUUAAUUAACAUUGAAAUGUUUUCACAUCGUCGUGUAGAAUUAUGUAUUUGCAAACCGAUGAUUUAUUUAUUCGGUGCUACGUUUAGCGCGUGUCUGACGCAAUAUGACACCUAUUCUACUUAAUUCGAAGUGAUAUCGAGUUGGACUGUUUCUCCUGUACAGUGUGUGUCUCUGUAGAAACGCCGAUUUAAUAAAUUACACUGUCUGAGCUCCUUAAAGAAAAAAAAUAAAAGAAAAGGAAUUAAGCUGGAAGAGAGAAAAAAAUUUUGUAACAACAGUAUCUGUAACUUGCAAUAUCUUUCAGAUAGAUUAUUGUUUUCCUGUGGGAAAUUGCGACACACGCGAAACAAAGCAAUUUUUGGCGAAAUAUU